rnacentral:lncRNA from 1 species
UUAGAGUUUAGUGUUUUGUUUAUCGUAUUAAUUUUUUUUUUGAAAACAUUUUUUUUUUGCAACUAUUAUUAUUUUUAUUUAUUUAUAUUUUUUUUUAAUUUUAAAAACGUAAUAUAAUUUGAGAAUAUUUUAUUUCCUUUUUUAAAAGUUAUCAGAUUUGAAAUAACUAAAUCUUAUUAGUUGGUGAAAACCUAUAAGUUCACCCUAUGGAGUGAAUCCAAGAAUAACUCUUUUAUUAUUAGUUGUGUUUUAUUUUUCUGUCUUUUUGGAAUGUUUUUAACGAAAGGAUGUGAAUAUUUAAUCAACG